GAAACGAGGAUAGCCAAUAUUCUAGCUGACAUUAAGAGAAAGAAACUGAGCUGGGCAGGCCAUGUAAUGCAUAGGGUAGAUAACCGAUGGACCAUCAGAGUAACAUAAUGGUUUACAGGUACACAAAUUACUAUUUAUGCAUAUACUAAAAAGAAGCUUAAUAGCAUACGAUUACCAGUCUGCAGGAUAAACAUUCGUGCUAGCAACAUAAGCUCCACUUUGUGAAAGCACAUUAAAAUUUUUUUUCUGGGCAUUCCAAGAUUGUAAAAACUGGCAUUGUUUACACCACACUGUGUUUUGUGCUCCAGAGAGCAUACACACAUAUAUUAAGGGAAUGCCUCCAGCGUCAAGUUGCACGUAGCUGAUUUGUUUAAUGUUGGGGCCAUGCCAAAAAUCGAUCAAAUUGGUUAAAAGAUGCAGACAAGAACACAAAUGUCAAAAGAGUCCCUGCGUAAUGACAAAAGGCUGAUAUUUGUGUCGUGUGUGCAUAAAUUUUCAUACUGCUUAAAGAGUAUAGCAGUAGGAUAUGAAAUAUAGGAAGUAG
rnacentral:lncRNA from 1 species